rnacentral:tRNA from 1 species
GCACCUGUGGCUCAGUGGAUAGAGCGUUCGCCUCCGGAGCGAAAGGUCGCUGGUUCAAAUCCAGUCAGGUGCA